rnacentral:rRNA from 1 species
ACUGGAGUUUGAUCCUGGCUCAGAAUGAACGCUGGCGGCAUGCCUAACACAUGCAAGUCGAACGAAGCCUUCGGGUUUAGUGGCGCACGGGUGCGUAACGCGUGGGAAUCUGCCCCUUGGUUCGGAAUAACAGUUGGAAACGACUGCUAAUACCGGAUGAUGACGUAAGUCCAAAGAUUUAUCGCCGAGGGAUGAGCCCGCGUAGGAUUAGGUAGUUGGUGUGGUAAAGGCGCACCAAGCCGACGAUCCUUAGCUGGUCUGAGAGGAUGAUCAGCC